CCGCCUUAGGGAAAAUAACGGUCCGGGGUGACGCCCGGGUCCUCGCCGCGUCGUGCGAGAGGAAUUUCUGAUCGGGUGAAGUUUCGCCCCGCAGGUGACCCGCCUCCUUUGCGGGAUUCCGCAGCGCCGCCACCUGCCCG